ACUCUAAUAGUACAAUCCAGAAACUCCUCCUAUUAUCACUAAUCAUCUUCUUCCUUUCUAUUACUCCUCAGAGACCUUGAAUUCGUUGUCGUUCAGAUUUCUCCACUCGGUUCCAAGUUGUCUAUGCUAAUUUCCUUACUUCUCAAUCAGAUGCUGUUUGUACGGCUCAGAUCUUUGCUGUCCGCGCAUGUAUGAAAAUCGUAAGCAUCCUAUUUGUUACUCCAAUUUUAAAGAAAAAACAGGUAAAUGCCUUUUCUUACCUCAACUACGAUUUAGAAUUUUUUUCCUAAAAUGUAGUUAUCUUAAGUUCUCUACUAAAUCUGAAGGAAAGGUUAGUAUUUUAUGUGUAAUUACUAAAAAAUGUGCCUUUUGUGUUUCCUUUGCUUCUUUUGGGUCAGAAAUUGGUUCUAGAUUUAUCAUUUGAUUAUUUAGAAACUUUUAAAGUAUUGGGGAAAUGGCCGAUGAAUACGAUAAGUUUACCUGAUUUAUAUCCUGCAUAUGCCGCAAAUUUGCUACUAUCAUGUAGAAGUUCGAUCAGGACAUGAACUUGCCUAUAUCUAUUAGAAACUGGAGCUAAUUAACAAUAUUUUGAUUCAACCAAUUCUCUAUGAUAUGAAGCUGAAGAAUCAUUUUUGAAUUGUCGUUGUGUAUCCUUUUAAGAUGAGGCACACUGCAGAAUGAACUAAGGAAGUAUCCACUUCAUAUUUUAUCUUCUUAUGAUUGAUCAAUUUUUAUACCAUCACUCGCUUCUUGUAACAAUUUCUAGAACGGCUAGACUUACUUCCUUAAAUUGGUAUUUGAGUCUAUAUAUUUGUUGCCCUGAUGAAACCUAAUACAACUUCUAACUUCUUUUUCUUCUAACAAAAAGAUGCCUUAUUAGUUUUUUAGAACUUCUUUUAUGAUCUUGUUAACUUUACUAUGCUUACAAAAGCUUAUUCAUAUGGAGUAAUCUUACAGAAGAACAGUUCUUACGAAUCGUCGAUCUUAAAGUUAAUGCCACUAAAAUUUCAAAUGCACUCUUAUUGAUGAAGAUCCUUUAACGUUUUACUUUUGCAAUAGAAACUUUUUCCUGAAGACAAUAGUCAUGCUUUUACUCCAAAAGGUAAUUUGGGUAGCUUAUAUUGUAAUUUUUGUUAAUAAUGUUGUAGCUAGAGGUCAAAAUUUGAGGUGGUUUGGCAUUGUAGAAAUUUUCAUGGUUAAUAACACAUGUCAACUAAAACACUUACUAAUACAAAUAGACUUAGGUCUUUUGGUCUUUACAUAUAGACAUGUGAUUUAUUUAUGGAAGCAAAGACAUUUUUUUCUUUUCUGGAGCAUUUGAACUUUGAAUUGUGGGCUUUAGAUAUAUGAUUUUGGUGAGGAUACUGGUUUUUUGGAUUAAAAGAGAUAAAAGAGUGUCUACCAAUCCCAAUUUUUCUGUAUUUUCGAUGUUUGACAGUAUAAAGCAUAUGAUGUCAUUUACAGGCAUUGUAAGGAAAUUUGGCCAUGUGGCCUAGACUUUAUAAAGUAAAUUGGCUUCACCAUAUCUAAAUAUCCAUGUACACUAGCUAAAUAAAGAGGGCUUGUAUUUUGAGUAGUUGCAUAAAUGCAGCUGUGAGCUCCAUAUAAAUUGUUAGGAAGAAUGGAAAAAAUGCAUUAAACACAACUGCCAAGUGUGUGUCCUUACAUAUUCUAAAAGCGCUUAACGAGCAAGAUCUAGAUAUAAUAUCCAUCAAGAAAAAGCGUCAAACUGUACUUCAUAUGACUUGAAGGUCAGGAUAGUUUUGUGAUCGAGGAAAUUCUAGAUACGGACAACUAAUAUUGAUUAAGCGUGGCAAGAAGGGCAACACAACUUUGCAUAUAUUCACAUGGAAAUGUCAUCCACAUGUAUCUUUUUAUUUCGUUUCUUAAGGUUAUGAUAUGACUCUUGCUUUUCUUAACACAUUAAAGACCUGCACUCAUUUCUGGAUGACGAAGUUAAAACUCAAUUUUUGUAGCACCCAAUUUCUUAAUCAUUGCAUUAUAUUCAUUUCUAAAGAUUGAGUUCUUGAACUGUCAAUACUUUUGUUUUUCAUCUUAUUGUUAAAUAAAAUGGUUAGUAGAGGUUUAUUCUAGACAAAUUGCCUGGAGAAUGAUAUAAAAUUUUCUUAUAAAAAUUUAGAGAAGGAAAAAUAUUAUAGGUUACAACAUUGCAGUAGAUGACUGGUGUAAGGACCUCUGGAUGCACUGUUAUUUUAAGUUGGGGACUAAUUGGUACUCAUAGGCAGACAACACUAUAUGGAUUGACUUCCUUAUAUUAUAGUUCCAAUGGUCUUUAAAUUUGUACUCAUUGGUAUGUGAAUUUAUGUGCUAUAUUUAUAUUUCAUAAAUUACAACAGCAUGGUAUAUGCAUUUCAAUAUAGCUAUCGAAUGAGUAUAAUUUUCACAGAAUUGACCCCGGUAAAGACUUGAAACGUGGAGAUUAUAGUCAAUGAUUUCAUAUACUGCACCAACAAACUCAUAUGAUGACAAUCUCACAUUCCCGUAUGGUUAUGUUCUUUUUGAAGGUACUGUAAUAAAACUUCUAAUAUGUUGCUGUGUUAGAAAGGCAAAGGUUGGCUACAAAGCUGGGUGGAUAGUUUGCGUCGUAGCAAAUGAAAAAGUAAGAUGUAUUUGUAAUGCGCUUGAAAAUGCAUACAUUUACUACAUCUUUGGGUAUUAUAUCUAUACUAUUUAACUAUAUAUGAUUGAACUGAAUAACUUUAGAGACGUAUAAUAUAUAUAUAUAUAUAUAUAUAUAUAUAUAUAUAUUGCAGUAUUGUACAUAAAAGUGUCGUAUUAUGCACAAUCAUGGUACAUAGAAGUCUUCUGCUAUGGUUCAGGAAGCUUAGAACAUUGACAGGUUACUUUCAGCUCUAGCAGAUGUAAUAUCUGCUAUAGAAUAGAAGCAUCCACAAUCUAUAUAGGUAGCUUCUAAUCUUUGAUGUAUGUAGGUUACAAUUGAGUCAUUUGAUAUUCACCAAGGUUCAUUAGGCAAUCAAAUAGUUCUUUUAACUUCAAAUUUGUCUAGAAAUUCUGAUUUCUAAAAAUCGUACUAAUCAAAGUUGUAAGAUUCUUUAUAUUAAUGUUCCUUUUGUUCUCUAUAGUUUGAGUUGCCAUGUUUUUGAUGCAUGUGGAAACUCGACUACUUUGAUUUUUGUGGAAAUCAUUCAUUCUUAUAGGGAGUAAUGUGAGACUGGUUUGUUGGACAAACAACAACAAUUAGCGACAUCCAAGAGAUGAGAUUGAUAGAGUGUUAAAACAGAAGAAUGCUACCGACUGCUUCUUUAAGCAUCUCUCACUUCUUUUUUCGAUUCUUUCUUGGUUGCAGAUUGUCUAGGGUUGAUGUGUUUUCUUAUGGUUUGGUGUUGUGCUUCCUUUUUUAAUUGGGUGUUGUACUUGGUUUGAAAAUUCUUUUGGAAAUAACUCCCUUCCAAAACUCUUUAGACCCUGUAAUUUUGCGGCUUACUAGCUCAAUGA